AAUCACCUAGCGGUCCGCCGAAUUAGCUAUUAGCUAAACUAACGUUAGCUGGAGGCUAGCGUGGGAACAGAUUGAGCCAGACUCAUUCAAGACUCGCACAAAAAGUUUGUUAUUUCCGGUCCUGACACUGGGGGCAGCCUGAGAGUGGAGCCUGACUCCGAGCGGCACUUCAGAUUGAUCAACUAGGGAAUUAACUAAAGGUGACAGGAAGUUGAAGUGGAUCCACCGCGCCUAAUUGAGUUAGCGAUCAGUUAGCUAAAAUUGACAUUAGAAAAUAGUUAGGUGUACAUUUUCAUUACAUUUACAAGUCGGACUCGAAGUAUACACCAACAGAAAUGAAGCCACCACCCGAAGAGACAGCUGGAGCCGAGGUGAGCGCAACAAGUGAGGAAAAUAAACGGCUAUGGCCGCGUAUCAGGUGCCAGGUAUGCUAACACCUGAGCGGCUAGCAUGGACUCGGUGCAGCCUGGCUAGCCCUUCUCCGGCCUCUGCUUCUCUGCUAGGGUCAUUGCCACUGACGACGCAAAGUUACCCGGUCAGUUUCUUACAAAUUGUGAGUUCGCGAUAUAACGUUAAGGACGGACUGGUUGGAUGUUAUUUGAAUGGAUUAAGUGAUUGAAAAGCAUUUACACUGAACUUUGAAAAGCCAUGCUUCACACACUGAAUGCCCAGUUUGGGCAGCUGGCUCUCAGAGACCUUACCUGCAAGUGCACCAGUAAUGACAAGAACCAUACUCGACGCCUGCAGCUGUUUUAAUGUUGCGUGGAGAGAUACUGCUGUGGUGUUCAUCUAUUUGUCACUGUCAGCCUCCAGACUGAGGAUAUGAGAAGGCGGCAGAAAGAAUGGGGGUGGUGGUGAGAGGAAAGAGAGUGUGAAGAAAACGCUGAAGUAUGUGAUUAAGAAUAAUGAGUAAAAAAUUGCAUAAAGCCUUCUCCCAAAUCACAUAUCAACUCCACGCCUGGCAUUAUCCCUGAAGCAUCUCAUCAGUCCUGGACCGAGUCCCCAUCGUUCUGCGAUCUAUCUUUCUCUCAGUGGAUCUACAUUGUGUUGGAUAGUAAAAAGCAAUGGCAGGAAAAAGACCUGUCAAGGUUCAUAUCAAUACGGUGACCUUCCGUCCCUUGCUGCUGUUCCACCACUCCAGCAAACACAGCCAGGCCUGCCCGUUAUCUCCAAACUACUGUUUGGAGAGGCAUCUCUAUCAGAACAGUGGGAAAACAUCCAAUGAAUAUCAAUUGGAAGACUUUGAUUUUUAUUUGUUCUGCAUUUGCUCUGUCUUGCUAUGGUACACAGACAUGACAGCAGGGUCCACUGUAUAAACUCUCAAACCACUUGAUUCUUGUUGGACUUUGGUGGAGAAAUUCAAUCUGUAAAUGUUAAACAUACAAGUCAUUUCUCAUUUUGCCUCCCUCUUUCACCUUUGUUACACAAUAUAUUAGAUCUGACACUGAAGGUUGAAAAAGAUUUUUUGGAGGGAAUAGUUUAACAUAUGUUAAGCAAGCUUUAGUCUGUUCAAAAUGCAAAACACCACAUGAACCUGCUGUAACUUGAUAGUAAAUUGGCUUAUCAAGUUCUGUUUGCCUACGUACACAUCCAGCAGACAAAAGGCAACAUGGGCAUCCCAUUGACAGUAAAUCUUUUUUUCUCACCACCUGUCCAAUGUUCACUGCUGUUUUUAUCUCUGCAUAGUUUUCAAUUUCUGAGAAAAAUAUCCUGUUAUUUUUAUAUUUGGGCUUUUUUUUUUAACCAGUUACUCAUUUUAUUUGUACAGUACAGGC